GACAUGGGCCCUUUUCGCAAUCCCUUGAAACCACGAUUUUCACGCUAACAUAUCGCUGUUGUUUUGGUAAACCAGUUUUAAAAGUAGAACACGAUCUUUCUUCUGAAAUAUGAAAGGAUCAUCUGUAAGGAUUAAUGAUGAGAAAGGCAAGCAAAAAGGUUUUCGGCUUGUGAAUAUACUUGCUUUGAAAAGUCUGCACCUUCCUCUAGUACUUCUCACAAUGUUACCUUCCUAUGGAAAACCACUCAGCAAACAAAGUCAGCUGUAUCCGAACCUAUGUGUCUAAAUGAUUGGAGACUGAUUA